rnacentral:rRNA from 1 species
UACAGAGACCUCAAGCGUUAUCCGGAAUCAUUGGGCGUAAAGAGCUCGUAGGCGGUCUGUUGCGUCGGCUGUGAAAACCCGGGGCUCAACCCCGGGCCUGCAGCCGAUACGGGCAGACUAGAGUUCGGCAGGGGAGACUGGAAUUCCUGGUGUAGCGGUGAAAUGCGCAGAUAUCAGGAGGAACACCGGUGGCGAAGGCGGGUCUCUGGGCCGAUACUGACGCUGAGGAGCGAAAGCGUGGGGAGCGAACAGG